AAAGAGAGGGAAAGAAAACAUAACAAAAGGUUUUUGGGCGGUAAUAUUUUUUCCCAAAUUGCGCCAUCAGCUACUUCAAAGUUCAAAGCGGGAGAAAUUCGUUGAGCACCAACUUUACCUCCUUCCAUAGGAAAUUGUAAAUUGCAUUAAUCUCCUUCAAUCUACCUUUAUGCUUUCAUCUUCUUCAAGUUCCCUUUCUGCCAUUAAUUAUAGUGAGAGGGUCAGAGGGACAUUGUCAGAGGUGCAAGAACAUGCCACGGGGUUGAUAUUUUCUCUCUCUUUGGACAGAAGAAUAGGACUGCCAUUGUUGAGCUGCUUAUUAAGAAAUUCAACGCAGUCCCACCGCUUGUGACGGUUCUACGGCAGGAGAAGGAGUCGAUGGUCGGGAUAAUUUUAUUGUUGUUGUAUCAAUUAACAACGAGCCUGCGAGUACCAAAAGAAGUGAUGUUGGAUGGAUAUGCUGUGGAAUAUUUGGUGUGGAUGUUUAUUGUUGAUUAUAAGUUGUAAAUAUUGGUUUUAUUGCCGACUGCAUUUUCGGGAAUUUAAUCUCUCAAUUCUACUUAAUGGUGUUUUUUGUUCAUAUUUCUGUUUGAUAAUCUAAAAUGAAAUCGGGUUCUAGCAUUA